rnacentral:rRNA from 1 species
UACGGAGGGUGCAAGCGUUAUCCGGAUUCACUGGGUUUAAAGGGUGCGUAGGCGGGCAGGUAAGUCCGUGGUGAAAUCUCUGAGCUUAACUCAGAAACUGCCAUGGAUACUAUUUGUCUUGAAUACUGUGGAGGUGAGCGGAAUAUGUCAUGUAGCGGUGAAAUGCUUAGAUAUGACAUAGAACACCAAUUGCGAAGGCAGCUCACUACACAAUUAUUGACGCUGAGGCACGAAAGCGUGGGGAUCAAACAGG